GUUGGACAUCGGUGACUCGAACAGCAGAGCUGGGCCACGAGAGGUGGAUCCAAGACCACACACCAGUUAUCAGUUAGGGAGAAGCCUAGGUCACGAGAGUCCAUGCGUGUGGUGUGGAUGACACGUUCAGGCGUAACACAAGUAAAGAGCCACUGGAAAAGAUACGACCUGGGAAGGUCACGUUCUAGGGGUGAGCUGCAUGCAUUGCACGUGAACGGCUAGGGCGCUC
rnacentral:lncRNA from 1 species